rnacentral:rRNA from 1 species
CAGCCGCCGCGGGAAUACGAAGGGGGCUAGCGUUGUUCGGAUUAACUGGGCGUAAAGGGCGCGUAGGCGGGUUUUUAAGUCAGAGGUGAAAUCCCAAGGCUCAACCUUGGAACUGCCUUUGAUACUGGAAGUCUUGAGUCCGGGAGAGGUGAGUGGAACUGCGAGUGUAGAGGUGAAAUUCGUAGAUAUUCGCAAGAACACCAGUGGCGAAGGCGGCUCACUGGCCCGGUACUGACGCUGAGGCGCGAAAGCGUGGGGAGCAAACAGGAUUAGAGACCCGUGUAGUCCCUGUCUCUUAUAU